AUCAAUAACAUAGAGACUAGUGGAUCUCAGUCAAGGUUUGGCCAUCCUUUUUACCUUCCUUCUAUCCUCUAAAAUCCACAUAUUGAGAUGAUAAUAUUGAAUAAUAAAUAAAGAAAAAGAAAAAAGAUGGCCAAUGAAAUAUGAACAAGCCUUUGGGACCAAGAAUGCAACUUAUAUUUGAUUAGAUGGAAAUGAAAAGACUUCUUAAGAACACGUAUUAUAUAAUUUAUAUUUAGAUAGUAAUUAUAAAUUUUGUUAUACUAAGUUAUUUGCGAUGUCGACAAGCAAAUUAAAUUAGCAAAAAGAAAGAAAAGAAUAUUUUCUAAAAGACAAUAAAGAAAAAGAGGUAAAUGUAAAAAGUGAAAAGGCAUGCAUGCGAUGCGUUCCAGAAGUCAUUCGGGCAUAAAACGUUUUCCUACUUCCAUUAUUUGAUUUCCUUUUUCUUUUUAUCAAAUUGCAUUGUUUGAUUUCAACUUUGUCAUAUUUGUAGUAAAUAGACGGUUCGAUUAUGUCGACAUAUUUGCAGGAUUUUGUCAAACUGCCCAUUUGGUUUCUUGGGCAUAAGAGUAACAUUCAUCGAGUGUUGUCGAUAUAUGUCUAGCAAAGAUUUCAACAAACAUUAAGUGGGCAUAAAAGGUAUACGUACCAUACAUUCAAAGAGUCCCCUGAAAACAUUCACAUAAUUAUUUCCCAGCCUCCGAUUAGUCAUAGGACCACCUUCUCCCAAUAUGCAUCUGUGUUCAAAUCUUUUGCACUCAUUUUGAUUGUAUCAUUUAUGUCACAUCUGUCAUUUAUUGGCACAUAUUACUAAAUUUAACCCUCCUGAACUUUGUUGUCAUAAACUUAACAUUGUUAAUCAAUAAUAGAGAUCAUAGAAUGAGUGCAUAGUCUUUGCAACCACAAGUUUUUAUUGUUUCACUCAAAUUAUAAUAGAUUAAUUUAUUUUAUAUUAAUACGUUUUAAAAGUAAGAUAUAUUAACUCGAUAGUCGAUUUUUAUUAUAAAACAUAAAAUAGUACAUAGAUUCGUGUUUCUAGUACUUUUGUUAACCAAUUAAAUAAUAGGGAUUUAAUAUAAAAUUUUGACCAAUUGUGAGGACAAGGAGCACCGUAUGCAACUGCAAGAAUGGCGAGAGCUCCAUAUGUUCCCCCCACCACAAUGCAAAGUGUGCAACAUACACCUUUUCUCCCAUUUGCAGGCUCCCCAGAACCAGAUCGAUUCCAUAUCUCGGGAAUAAUCAAAAGACAUCACAUGAUCUUCUUUAAACACUUUUUUCUGUAGAUCCCAACCAAAUUGAAAAACAAAUAAACAAAAUAUCUGCCUUUUGAAUUAUGCAAAAUUCGAAUCCAUUUAUAAAAAUAAUAUGCUGUAAUAUUAGUAAAAUAAUAUGCUAUAUUAAGUUGAAUAGUCACUUAGUACUAUAAUGUAGUAGUAUUCAUCUUUACUUGUAAGUGUGAGGUUUUAGGUUCAAUUCUUUUUAAUGAUAGAGUUGAACCACAUUAUUAUGACAAACUUAUUAUAAAGCUUAUUCCCCACUCCCUUAAUGUAAAUACUAUUGUUUAGUUAAAAAUAAAAAAGUUGCAUUGAAUCGUUAAUGAAUCAUAUAAGUUUUAAUUCAUUUUCAAAUCUCUAUAAUCAUUUUCAAACUUUUAUAUUCGGUAGGUCAUACACUAGCUCGUUUUGCUCUCUAUUGUGGAGACGAUUGUACUUGGUUUGAUGAGCAUACUACUCUAAUUGGUGAUCUUCUUGUGGGGGAUAUUUCAUUUCUUUGUAUUAAUUAGCUUUUUCAUGGCUUGAAUGGAAUAGAUAAUGAUAGAAAUACCAUAUUUCUAAACUAAAUUUACAAAAUACGUGGGUUAGUUACUGCAUUUUCUCCACUAACAUUAUCAUUUAUAAAAAAAAAAAAUAGAAUCCAAUGCACUUAGACAUACCGUGUGUAAAAUAAUGCGUUGUAAAAUUCUCAAAGAAAUUGGUUAUGGAAGAAUUAACAAAUUACCCGCUAAUCUCCGUAUUAGACAAACUAAUUAAUUUGUUAAUCUUCGCAGAGAAUAUCUCUGCCACGUUUUUAAUUAUUUAAAAAUAAAAAAUAAAUUCUUAGCAAAACCGGGGGCUGAUAGUAAAUAGGAAAAAGUAUUACAGCGUACCUGGAACGUGGUGGCGCUCGCGCGUGUCAAGACGGAACUACGUGGGAGACAGAGACCGCUUGACUGGUCUGACAAGUUGUCCAAUAAAACGGGGAGUAUGAUUCUCUCCCCUUUUUUUUCCCUCCCCUUCCCUCCCUUCUUAUUUGAAUGGUUACGAUUAAAUCACGGC
rnacentral:lncRNA from 1 species